CACUGACAUUAGAUACCCGCGUAGUCCCAGCCGUAAACAAUGUGCGUUAGGUGUGUCGGUAACCACGCGUUACUGAUGCGCCGAAGAGAAAUCGUGAAACGCACCACCUGGGAAGUACGGUCGCAAGGCUGAAACUUAAAGGAAUUGGCGGGGAGCACCACAACAGGUGGAGCCUGCGGUUUAAUUGGAUUCAACGCCGGACAUCUCACCGGAUAAGACAGCUGAAUGAUUGUCAAUCUGAAGGUUUUACAUGACUAGCUG
rnacentral:rRNA from 1 species